rnacentral:rRNA from 1 species
CCUACGGGGGGCAGCAGUGAGGAAUAUUGGUCAAUGGCCGGAAGGCUGAACCAGCCAUGCCGCGUGAAGGUCAGUGCCCUAUGGGCGUUAAACUUCUUUUGUGCGGGAGCAAUAAUGGUCACGUGUGGCCAGACGAGAGUACCGUACGAAUAAGCAUCGGCUAACUCCGGGCCAGCAGCCGCGGUAAUACGGGGGAUGCAAGAGUUAUCCGGAUUUAUUGGGUUUAAAGGGUGCGUAGGCUGUGAGGUAAGUCAGCGGGGAAAUGCCCCCGCUCAAAGGGGUGAAGUGCCAUUGAUACUGCCUUGCUGGAGUGCGGAAGACGUGGGAGGAAUGUGUGGUGUAGCGGUGAAAUGCAUAGAUAUCACACAGAACACCGAUUGCGAAGGCAUCUCACUGAUCCGCGAUUGACGCUGAGGCACGAAAGCGUGGGUAUCAAACAGGAUUAGAUACCCGAGUAGUC